rnacentral:lncRNA from 1 species
AUUAAUUAAAAGAGCUCUCUAGUACGUACUGUACAUCGUUACGUUUUCAAUUCCUCAAAUAACAGUACAACGGUUGGUCGCAAAUUUACCCUAGAGCUUCGAUCAAUAUAUGCAUCAAUUUUGCAGAUGCACAACGAGUGAGGAAACAUCUUUACCAAUUGCUUCUUCAAUUCCUUGGGUUAUUGCAGCUAAUUUUCCCCAAUAUCUGUUUUAUCUCUCUCGCAAAUUCGAGGUAUGAUUUCUAUUAUAUCUAGUUGCUCCAUUUCUAUCAAAAUUAUUCAAAAUUAGUUUUAUUACUUGGUUGUUCGAGCUACUCUUAUUCUUCCUAUUUUAUUCGAUCAGAAUCUGUCAUUUUUUAAAAUUUGUACAGCUCAAUAAUUUAUUAUGAUAUUUAUCAAUUUGUGGAUGGUUAAUUAUUGUCUCUUUAUCGUCUAGCUACUAGGAAUAGCAAUAAAAUUUAGCAGGUGCCGAGUGGGGCGGGUUUACUGCUAUGCGGAUCAGGGUGGGGCAGUCUCAAAGUGGGGCAGGGUUGGGCGAGGUGCGAUAGAGUCUUAGCUUUUUAAAACUGUGGGGUUGUGGUGCGGGGACAGAGCCUUCAUGUUUGUUUGAUCUGGCUAUACAUUUUUAUUUUCUGUUAAUAUGAUGUGCUAUGUACUUUGGAUAUCUCUAUUGUAUUUUGGAUAUUGUACAUCUUUAUUUUCUGUUAAUAUGAUGUGUUAUGUACUUUCUGCUGACAGAGUAUAUAACCUUUGAUAGAAGGUUGUGGAGGAUACAAUCAGUGUAGUAGGUUAGUAGGUAGUGAUAGUAUAGUGUGGUUUUGCGUAUCCUUCCUUAUUAGCUGUAGUAGCAUUACUUGAAUUCAUUUGUUAUUGAUGCUUCAAAAUUUGAUGAACGAAUGUAUUGAAUUGUAUUCUGACUUUUGUUGUUUAUAUAAGUAUUGAAUUGUGUAGAAUAUUACUACUAUUAAAUAAUUAUAAUUGUGUAAUGGGUCAUUGCGUUUCCCUUGUUAAUUCGGGUAAUAUACUGUGUAUUUCGGAGAACAAAUAUCAAGAUUAUGAUGCUUUUUCUAUUGCAUUUUGGAUGUUGUACAUCUUUGUUUUCUUUUAAUAUUACAUGCAAUGUAUAUUCAAUUUUCCGAGGAACUUAUCGAGAAUAUGAUCUUAGAUAGGAGGUUGUGGAGGACACAGAUAGAUUGACAAGUAGUAGUAGUAGAGCCAUGGUGGUUUUGCUUAUCCACUUCCCUAUUAGUAGUCAUAGCAUUACUCCUCUGGUUUCGUGUUAUUAGAUUUUUAUUACUAUCUUCCGUUUUUUGUAAUUUGAUUGUCGUAUUUUUUUUUUGUAGUUACUUUUGAGAAUGUUUGUUCAUAUUUUCUAUAGUAUUUUGUUGUGGUUUCUGUAUUUUUGUUAAAUUUUUUUUCGGGCUGCUUUGAACUAUUUUUUUCUUGAGCUGAGGGUCUUUUGGAAGCAUCCUUUCUACCUCUUACGUAGGGGUAAGGUCUGUGUACAUCUACUCUACCUAGACCCUACUUUAUGCCCUGAAUAUCAACAAAUUAUCAUCGUAUGAAAACUGAUGUGUACACCAUUCAGUAGUGUUUUCACUUUCUUGUCAUAAGAUAAUAGUGUUUUCACUUGUCAUCUUCUACUACUUUUCUCUAACUGUUCUUGUAUGUAACCCUUUUAAGCCUUCACAUAUCAUUUAAGGGAAGGUGGUAAUUUAAUGAUCCAAUAUUAGGGACUUUGAUUCCUGCCUAUAAUUGUUGUUUAAAGAAUAUCACGUAAAUCGCUAAACCUUGCCUUUCUUUUCCUUGCAUAAAAUCAUUAACUCUAUUUUCAAUAAUUUCUUACUGCCAAAACUAAAUAGUGCAGCAGAGUCCUAAUUGAAUAGUCAAGGUGCUUGCAAGUUAGCACACACACCACUAUUUUGUUGAAGCUUGUACUUUCGUUGAAGAACUUGAAUAAACUGGUGUGCUUAAGGUAGAUGAAAAACAAAUGGCCUAGUGUUUCUGCUUUUGUAGGAAUUGAAAAGCCUAGUCUCCAAGGUUUACGCCUACUUUAUUGACCACUAGAUAACACCCUUAGGUGCACCACAAAACUCUUCUACUAAUACCAAAUGGCCAACCAGGAAAUAGAUGCCCAAUUAUCAUUUAUACUUAGGUGCUUAUACCAAAGAGAGCAGAAAGAGGAAAUAUCUUGACAACAAAACUAACUACAGUAAUAAAAGUAAAGUAUUUUAAACUAGUCCAAGAUAGUGGAUCAUCACUGUUUAAAGACUAAAAGAGAACAAAGAAACAUAGGUAAUCACUGCAUACGGGCUAUUGAGUGCUCAAAAUAAAAUUACUCAUUAAUAUCAGAAAUUUCUUCGUGGUUUUUCUAAAUGUAAAAACAUCAAAGAAAUUUCCAGGUAACAAAUGGUACCUUAUUAGGGCAAACAUCAGCAUAAACAUGAUCUUUCUUUGAAAUAGCCUUACUUUCCAUGUUAAGCUCAUGAUGCUCUAUGCUGUCGAAAAUCAAAUCUGAAGACAUCUCUGCACCAGAAAAUGCAGAAAAAUCUAGUGACCUUUCGACAGUUAGAUUGAGAACAAGUGAUUCUCGAUCUGUCAUUUUUUGUGUUUGGGCUUACACAAGGUAUGUUGUUGUUGUGAUGUGCGAUGUACUACUACUUGUGUUAAAGAUGAUAGCUGGAAGCUGACAUCGACAUAACCAUGGUGUCUGGACCAACUUACAUGGACCUCAAUUAGUUUCAUGGAGUAAGUCUAUCUUAACAGGUAGCUCUGACAUUAGGACUUUGUAAUUAUGCAUAUGGAAGUGUAAAGUGGUUGCCGCCACGAUCCAUGCAAAUAGUUGUGGUUUUCAAUUCUGUUGCAGCUUUGCUAUUAGUUUCUUUACAGGGAUUUAUCUAAGUUAUAGGUAGUGACUUAUGGGAUUUUACUAGAGAUGUUGUUAUUGUUGUUGUAAUAGAGACUUUAUCUGAGUCAAGGGGAAUUCAAGAAUAGUUUUUCGCUACACUGUUGUUAUAGUAUAUGUGUUGUGUCUAAUACAAUUAAAGGUGAUAUAAGAUGGUUGUUUAUGGCAUUAUCUAACACACUGCGCUGAUUGAUAUCUUCCAUUGGCAGCGCAACAAUAGCAUAAGCCAACAAGCAAUACAAAACACCUAUCAAACUAAUAAGCAAGGCCCCCAGCACAUGUGGUGAGAAGGAUUGAAUACCUUGAGGAAAAGUAAACUAAAUCAGAGGCCAUUGGUUUGGCAGUUUAAAGCUUAUCUCUCAUUUUUCAAUUUUAUUCAUAAAUAACCACGACAAUUUUCCUGUUGUUGCCAUUAUCAAGUAACCAUGACUACAAUAAUCGAGAUAUUUAACAUUUCAUCAACAGGAAAAACAAAAUAAUCACAGCAUAAAGCCAAGUAAAAGAAAUACUGAAAGUGUUUUUUUAAUAAACAGACCAUAUAUGAAAUAUCUAUCAUACACCGGCAUUAUGGGCAGGGCCAUCCAAUAGGAUCCCUAAAACCUUCAGUUUUGAACCUCCAUUGUCAUCUGAAACAUCUCUGAAGUUAACUCCGAUCCCAGUCAUAUCUAUCCAUCUUGGAGAACUUUCAAUGACAAGCAGUACAUGUCAUGGAACAAGAACACUGAAAAGUUUAUAAGUAAGACAUUAUUUGAAUAAGGAAAACUCAAAACAUACUGUAAAAGAAAAUCAUUGAUAUCAUGAUGACUUAUGAUACAAUACCCAUGCUUGAAUGAAAAUAGAGAAGUACUAAAAAUCAUCUGUUUCAAAUAUGGCUUCAUCAAAUUGUGCUUCAUCCAAUAAAAAAAUAGAAGGAUGAUAAUGCAGGAGGAUGAUAGAUGAACUACAGAUUCAGGAUAGUUAAUAAUACAAACAUCUAUUGGUAUAAAAAAAAAGAGAAGGUGUGAACAUAAUGUAAAGGAACUUCAAAUCACUAAUGCUAAUAAAAAAGUGUCAAACCUUUUUCAAACUUCCGUAAUAAAUAUAGUUCAACCUAUAAAUGAAAUAAUACAUUUAGAAUGCUUAAAGCUUUGCAGUAUGAAACCUGGAAAUAAGAUUUCUAGUCCUAUGUAAUAACCUAAAUAAAAAAAAUUAUAUUCCCAUGUGGUAGACAUCCCGCCGUCCUCUAAAUAUUGAAUGUUCCUUAUUAACUUUUUAUUAUUAUUUUUUUAUUUUAGAUAUUUGAUCCUUUUUCCCUUUUUAUGUGUUAUUCUCAAAGCAGAUGAGAUGCUUAAAUAUUGUUGGUCUGUGAUGAUUAUAUGCUUAUUUGAGUAGUAAGCCGACAGUUUCAAACAAUGUCUGUAAAUUUUAUAAAAUAAUAUAGUUCUAAUCUGAGGAGGAGGUCAUAUUAUGUUUAAAGUCGAAAUACCUAAUGUAGUAUGAUAUAAUCAUCUGAUGGUAAUACGUUACGUGAAUUUAAUUAUUUUUCUUAUCCUUUAUAUUUUUUAAUCUAUUUUUUUAUGUAUUCUCCAAGGUUAUGACACCUAGUAAGCAAUGGAUGCAACUUUUUCUUCAUAAUUGGACUCACAAAAUCUACUUAGACGGGGUGAAAAAGUUUGUGAAUUAUGAUUUUUGGAGAAAAUAAGAAGAAUGUGAAAUACGGUGUCUGUGUUACGAGUGUUGUAAUGCAACAUUAGAAACUCGUAAAACAAUUGAGAUACAUUUGAAAGUCCAUGGAUAAGUGAAAAUUAUACCUUUGGAUUUCACCAUGAAAAACAAUUAGGUGAGCCACUAUCAGACUUUGCAGAUGAGGAUGAUGAUGAAGCAGAAAAUUUUGAGAGUAAAGACGAAGAUCAAGUGGAAGAACUAUUGAGAGAUUUAUAUAUUAAUGCUAAAAGUGGAGGAGAUACACACACUAAUUUUGAUGAUAAACUUGAGGAGAAACUAAAUGCUGAAGUUAAAAUUUUUUAUCGCUUUCUGAAGGAUUUCAAGCAGCCAUUGUAUCAAAACUCAAAGGUUUCAAAGAUUUCAUCUUUGUAUAAAUUACUUCACAUCAAAAGUAUGGGUUAUUGGGGCAAUGAGUCAUUUACCAUGCUAUUGAAAAUGUUAAAGGGGGAGUUGUUGCCAGAUGGAGCUAAUCUGCCAAAUUUAUAUGAUGAGGCAAAAAGGAUAAUUCGAGAGCUUGAGCUUUCUUACAACAUGAUUGAUGCUUGUACUAACGAUUGCAUGUUAUAUUAAAAGAAGGAUAUCUUACUUGAUUCUUGUAAAAUUUAUGGUGCGUUCAGAUGAAAGUUAGAUACACAUAGUGAGGAUAUAAAGAAUAAAAAAGAAUAAAAAUAGCCUUAAAAAUUUUAUGCUAUUUUUCCUUAAAGCCUAGGCUUCAGAGGUUGUUUAUGUCUACAAAGACAACUUCUCUAAUGACAUGGCAUAAAGAUGAAAGAACCGAUGAUGGAAUAAUGAGACACUCAGCUGAUUCAAUAGCAUGAAAGACGUUUAAUGAAUGAUAUACUUCAUUUUCAGUUGAUCCUCGUAACGUUCGACUUGGACUUGCUAGUGACGGAUUCUAAUCAUUUUGAAAUUCCAAAAUCUCAUAUAGUAUUUGGCCCGUGGUUCUUAUUCCUUAUACUUUACCAGCCUGGUUGUGUAUGAAAUAGGAUAAUUUUAUUUUGUCAAUGCUUAUUCCUGGUCCAAGCAGUCCUGGAGAAGCAAUUGAUACAUAUCUUCAACCUCUAAUAGAGAAAUUGAAUGAGUUAUGGGAAAUUGGUAUUGAAACCUUUGAUACAUCAACUAAAUAAAAUUUUAAGUUGAAUGUUUUUUUGUUAUGAACUAUCAAUAACUUUUCGGCAUAUGAAAAUUUAUCUAGAUGGAGUACAAAAGAAAAACGGGCAUGUACAUCUUGUAAAAAAGAUAAUUCCUCAAUUUAAUUGGCUAAUUGUAAGAAGGAAUGCUUUAUGGAUCAUCGAUGUUACCUUUCUUUGAGUCACAGAAGGAGAAAUGAUAAGAAGUCAUUUGAUGGUACAAUAGAGAAAAGACACCCACUAAAAAUGCAUUCUGGGAAUUGAGAUACUUAAUCGAGUGCAAGAUCUUGAAGUACAAUCAUUAAUAAAAGGAUCCUAAUGAGAGGAGGAAGAUAUCACAUGAAAAGCUAAAGAAUAAUUGGAACAAGAAGGGUAUCUUUUUUAAACUUCCUUAUUGAAAAUAUCUCUUGUUGCGACAUAAUUUGGAUGUUAUUCAUAUUCAAAAAAAUAUAUUUGAUAAUUUUUUUGGGACAUUCAUGAAUGUCAAAGGAAAGACCAAAGAUACAAUUAAAACCCGGUUAGUUAUUAGGUCAGAAUUGCACCCUAUCCAAAGAGAGAAUGAAGUCAAAGUUUCAACUGUAUGCUACACAUUGUCUACUGAAGAAAAGCAUAAAUUAUGUAUUUUCUUGAAGAAUUUAAAGGUCCUGAAUGAAUUUUUAUCUAAUAUUUCUCAAUGUGUGACAUGAAAGAACACAAGAUAUCUGAUUUGACAAGCCAUGAUUGUCAUGUUCUGUUGCAACAUAAACUCCCUCUUGCUCUUCAUGGUAUAUUGUCAAAAGAAGCGUGUGAACCUCUUAAUGAGUUAUCUUUAUUUUUUAGUGUUCUUAGGUCAAAGGAGUUGAGGAUUGAUAAUUUGAAAUAUAUUGAAGAGCAAAUUCCUAUUACACUUUGCAAGUUAGAAAAAGGUUUUCACUUUUUUUUUAUGUCAUGGACCACUUGCCUAUUUAUUUAGCUGGUGAAGCUAAGAUUGUUGGGAUAUUUAUUAUCGGUGGAUGUAUCUUAUCGAGUGAUGGUUAUAUUUUUUGAAAUCUCUCAUUGGUAAUAGGGCAUGCCCAGUAGGUUCUAUUGCAGGGAGCUACCUUGCAAACUUUAUGUUCAAGGUAUCUGUAUAGAAUUGACACGAAAUUCAAUUGGUUUGAAUGAAAUUAUGAUGGUGGUUUAAAAAAUUCAAAUGGAGGUUUAUCUAUUUUUUGUCAACCUGAAAAGACUCUGGGAGAUAAAGAUCCAUGUGAGCUUGAAGCAAAUGAAUUGAAAACAAGCACAUAUAUAUAUAUUCUGAAGAAUUGUGUUGAAGUCUUACCAUAUCUCGAGUAUGGAGAGUUCUUUUGUAUCAUCUUUUUUUUUUCAAUUUCCUUUAAGGUAAUAUUGUUUCUAUAUGACGUUUAUGGUUAAACUCAAUUUUGUAGAGAGUUUGCAAAUAUGAAUAUUGCUCAAGACUUGUUGGAUACAGAAUGGGACCGAG